UUUUAUUUGAGAGUUUGAUCCUGGCUCAGGAUGAACGCUGGCGGCGUGCCUAACACAUGCAAGUUGAGCGAUUUACUUCGGUAAAGAGCGGCGGACGGGUGAGUAACGCGUGGGUAACCUACCCUGUACACACGGAUAACAUACCGAAAGGUAUGCUAAUACGGGAUAAUAUAUUUGAGAGGCAUCUCUUGAAUAUCAAAGGUGAGCCAGUACAGGAUGGACCCGCGUCUGAUUAGCUAGUUGGUAAGGUAACGGCUUACCAAGGCGACGAUCAGUAGCCGACCUGAGAGGGUGAUCGGCCACAUUGGAACUGAGACACGGUCCAAACUCCUACGGGAGGCAGCAGUGGGGAAUAUUGCACAAUGGGCGAAAGCCUGAUGCAGCAACGCCGCGUGAGUGAUGAAGGCCUUCGGGUCGUAAAACUCUGUCCUCAAGGAAGAUAAUGACGGUACUUGAGGAGGAAGCCCCGGCUAACUCCGUGCCAGCAGCCGCGGUAAUACGUAGGGGGCUAGCGUUAUCCGGAUUUACUGGGCGUAAAGGGUGCGUAGGCGGUCUUUCAAGUCAGGAG
rnacentral:rRNA from 1 species